rnacentral:tRNA from 1 species
UAGGAAAUGGUGUAAAGGAAGCACCUGGAGUUUUGAUCUCUUGGGUAUGGGUUCGAAUCCCUUUUUCCUAG